rnacentral:rRNA from 1 species
AAUGGGCGCAAGCCUGAUGCAGCCAUGCCGCGUGUAUGAAGAAGGCCUUCGGGUUGUAAAGUACUUUCAGCGGGGAGGAAGGGAGUAAAGUUAAUACCUUUGCUCAUUGACGUUACCCGCAGAAGAAGCACCGGCUAACUCCGUGCCAGCAGCCGCGGUAAUACGGAGGGUGCAAGCGUUAAUCGGAAUUACUGGGCGUAAAGCGCACGCAGGCGGUUUGUUAAGUCAGAUGUGAAAUCCCCGGGCUCAACCUGGGAACUGCAUCUGAUACUGGCAAGCUUGAGUCUCGUAGAGGGGGGUAGAAUUCCAGGUGUAGCGGUGAAAUGCGUAGAGAUCUGGAGGAAUACCGGUGGCGAAGGCGGCCCCCUGGACGAAGACUGACGCUCACGUGCGAAAGCGUGGGGAGCAAACACGAUUAGAUACCCUGGUAGUCCACGCCGUAAACGAUGUCGACUUGGAUGUUGUGCCCUUG